AGUGAACGCUGGCGGUAGGCCUAACACAUGCAAGUCGAACGGCAGCACAGUAAGAGCUUGCUCUUACGGGUGGCGAGUGGCGGACGUGUGAGGAAUACAUCGUAAUCUACUUUUUCGUUGGGGAUAACGUAGGUAAACUUACGCUAAUACCGCAUACCACCUACGGUUGAAAGCAGUGGAUCUUCGGACCUUGCGCGAUUGAAUUAGCCGAUGUCGUAUUAGCUAGUUGGCUGGGUUAAUGCCCACCCAGGCGACGAUCCGUAGCUGGUGUGAGAGGAUGGUCACCCACCUGGGAACGGAGACACGGACAAGGGGACUAAGGGAGGGCGCAGAGGCGAAUAUUGGACAAUGGGCGGAAGUAUGAUACAGCCAGCCCGAGUGGGUGAAGAAGGCCUUCGGGUUGUAAAGACCUUUUGUUGGGAAAGAAACGCAGCAGGUUAAUACCAAGCUGUUCUGACGGUAAUAAAAGAAUAAGCACCGGCUAACUUCGUG
rnacentral:rRNA from 1 species